GAUGAACGCUGGCGGCGUGCCUAAUACAUGCAAGUCGAGCGAACGGACGAGAAGCUUGCUUCUCUGAUGUUAGCGGCGGACGGGUGAGUAACACGUGGAUAACCUACCUAUAAGACUGGGAUAACUUCGUGAAACCGGAGCUAAUACCGGAUAAUAUUUUGAACCGCAUGGUUCAAAAGUGAAAGACGGUCUUGCUGUCACUUAUAGAUGGAUCCGCGCUGCAUUAGCUAGUUGGUAAGGUAACGGCUUACCAAGGCAACGAUGCAUAGCCGACCUGAGAGGGUGAUCGGCCACACUGGAACUGAGACACGGUCCAGACUCCUACGGGAGGCAGCAGUAGGGAAUCUUCCGCAAAGGGCGAAAGCCUGACGGAGCAACGCCGCGUGAGUGAUGAAGGUCUUCGGAUCGUAAAACUCUGUUAUUAGGGAAGAACAUAUGUGUAAGUAACUGUGCACAUCUUGACGGUACCUAAUCAGAAAGCCACGGCUAACUACGUG
rnacentral:rRNA from 1 species